rnacentral:rRNA from 1 species
AGAGGCCGCCUGAGAAACGGCGACCACUUCCAAGGAAGGCAGCAGGCGCGCAAAUUACCCACUCUCAAAACGAGGAGGUAGUGAAGAGAAAUAACGAUGUUAGUCUUUUAUAGGCUGACAAUCGGAAUGGGAACACUGUAAACAGGUUAUCGAUUAACAAUUGGAGGGCAAGUCUGGUGCCAGCAGCCGCGGUAAUUCCAGCUCCAAUAAGGAAAACUAAAGUUGCUGUGUUUAAAAAGCUCGUAGUUGAAUUUCGGGUAUUUGUUGCUAGCUGGUCUAACUGGCCAUGUUGGUUAACAGAUCCUCAUUUGCUGGACGGCUGGCGAUGAUCUUCAUCGAUUGUCGUCAGUUGCCAGCACGUUUACUUUGAGAAAAUUAGAGUGCUAAAAAGCAGGCUCACGCCUAUAUAUAUUGCAUGGAAUAAUGAAAUAAGAUCUCGAUUUUAUUUCGUUGGUUUUAGAAAUUGAGAUAAUGAUUAAUAGGAUCAGACGGGG